AGUGAACGCUGGCGGUAGGCCUAACACAUGCAAGUCGAACGGCAGCACAGUAAGAGCUUGCUCUUACGGGUGGCGAGUGGCGGACGGGUGAGGAAUACAUCGGAAUCUACUUUUUCGUGGGGGAUAACGUAGGGAAACUUACGCUAAUACCGCAUACGACCUACGGGUGAAAGCAGGGGAUCUUCGGACCUUGCGCGAUUGAAUGAGCCGAUGUCGGAUUAGCUAGUUGGCGGGGUAAAGGCCCACCAAGGCGACGAUCCGUAGCUGGUCUGAGAGGAGGAUCAGCCACACUGGAACUGAGACACGGUCCAGACUCCUACGGGAGGCAGGAGUGGGGAAUAUUGGACAAUGGGCGGAAGCCGGAUCCAGCCAUACCGCGUGGGUGAAGAAGGCCUUCGGGUUGUAAAGCCCUUUUGUUGGGAAAGAAAAGCAGCAGGUUAAUACCCCGCUGUUCUGACGGUACCCAAAGAAUAAGCACCGGCUAACUUCGUG
rnacentral:rRNA from 1 species